CCGUAAAAACUCUUCGGAGAAAAAAAAAAAAAGAUUGCUAUGUGCAGGGAUCUCCAAAAAAGGUACCUGGGUCUGAAGGAUGAGCUCUCCAUUGCUGCUGCCCUGGACCCAAGGUUUAAGGCCCUACCUUUUCUGUCAGAUGAUGAUGAGCGAGAAGAAGUGUUCAUGCAUCUUAUAGCUCUCACUAAAGAAUUGGCCACUGUUAAAAGCUCAGUAAGUACUAAAGUAUAAAUAAAAAAUGCAUUCUGUCACAUACACACCGAAUAGUUUUGUUUUGUUGUCUUAUGGAAUGCUAUCGGUCUGCAAUUAUUUGAACACUGGCAAAUUGAUAUACUUUUUAUUUUAAUGAUUUAGCCCUACAAUGCAUGUUAAAUGAGCUAUUUGAAAUGAUAAAGCUCUUCUUACCAAUGCGAUUAUUUUCUUAUUUUUUUGCAGCAACAGAGUGGGCUGAUUGAUGAAGACCGUGAGGCAAUUGAACAGCAGGGAUAGCCGGUUGAUGACCCUUCUGGACCAUCACCAAAGAAAGCAAGGGACUCUUGUGCUCUGGCUGAUCUUUUUGGAAGCGCAUAUACAACUCCAGUAGCAGUGUCCAGAACCACAGAUACCAAGGCAUUGGAUGAGGUGGUGCGUUACAAAGAGGUACAACCACUGCCACUCUCCACAAAUCCACUCAACUGGUGGAGAGAGCAUGAGGGGGAAUACCCUUUGUUGUCAUGCCAAGCUAAAAGGUACCUUUGCAUCCCAGGCAGUAGUGUACCUGCUGAAAGGAUCUUUUCCACAGCAGGUGACAUAGUCACAGCCCAGAGAUGUGCAUUGAAGCCUGAGCAUGUGGAUCAGCUGCUUUUUCUGAACAAGAAUCUCCUCGUGCCCACUUAGUCUGUAACCAGAAAUGAAGAACUGUACUGUUACAGUACAAUUCUUUAUUUCUGGCUACAGUACUAUAGUUCAGUUCAAGAUAUGUUCAAAAAUUAGAGGUUAAUCACUACAUGUUCAAAAGCUAAGAAUGUUUACAAGCACUAAACUUUUUUCAGUGCAAUUCAGUUGAAUACAACCCUAUGAUUUGUGUUUAAAUCUGCACUAAUAUGCACAGAUGUUAUUGAAAUGCAUUUUUAUUUAUAUUAGACUUUCAAGAGAUAAGCUAUGCCUAAUUUUAUUUUACAUGCACUUUACUUUUUAUUGUUUAUUAAGAACAGUUUUCUACUUUAAGCACAUUGCAGAAAGAAGUUUGUUUCUUUGCUCAGAAAUGUGAUGUUACAGAAGUUUGUAUGAAAAUAAAUAUUUUAAAAAUGUCAA